rnacentral:rRNA from 1 species
UACGUAGGGGGCUAGCGUUGUCCGGAUUUAUUGGGCGUAAAGAGCGUGUAGGCGGCCAUGUAGGUCCGGUGUGAAAACUCGAGGCUUAACCUCGAGAUGUCAUCGGAAACCAUUUGGCUAGAGUCCGGAAGAGGAGAGUGGAACUGCGAGUGUAGAGGUGAAAUUCGUAGAUAUUCGCAAGAACACCAGUGGCGAAGGCGGCUGACUGGUCCGGAUCUGACGCUGAGGCGCGAAAGCGUGGGGAGCAAACAGG